UACAGAGGGGGCAAGCGUUGUUCGGAAUUACUGGGCGUAAAGGGCGCGUAGGCGGCCCGCUAAGUCGAACGUGAAAUCCCCGAGCUCAACUCGGGAACUGCGUCCGAUACUGGUGGGCUUGAAUCCGGGAGAGGGAUGCGGAAUUCCAGGUGUAGCGGUGAAAUGCGUAGAUAUCUGGAGGAACACCGGUGGCGAAGGCGGCAUCCUGGACCAACACUGACGCUGAUGAGCGAAAGCCAGGGGAGCAAACGGG
rnacentral:rRNA from 1 species